GUUCUCUGCUGUCCAGAUGCGGAUGGUGCAGUCCAGGCUGGAGCAGGCAUACAGCUUGAGUGUGGGGCAGCAGCACAGGCCUGGGGGCCGGGGCUCAGCAUCAGGCACCAGAGCCAUAUGGUGGCCUAGGCUUCACCUUUGCCCUGCCCCCUCACCGGUGAUGUGGUCCAUGGGGUCAUCCUGGGGCCGGUGAUCAUAGCGUGGGCUGUUGCCCAGGCCAAACUGCACCAAACCAUAGGUGGCGCUGUCCGGGUCCUCAAAGCCCACAGUGAUGCGCUGCCCAAGUGCACAGAGCACCACGGCUGGGUGGCAGCAGGAGAAGCUGCGCAGCAGGCUCAGGCUCUCCUCAGCAUACGGGAAGACCCGCCACACCUUCACUGUCAAGUCUCCGCCUGCGGGGCGAGAGCCAGGGCUGGGCCUUUGGGGAGGGAAGGGCUUCCCAGGCCAGCUAUGGGGGAGGAGAGGUACUGACCCGAGGACACAACGCUGUUCCAGGUGGACGCAAUGGCAGUGACCGGGCUGGGGUUGUGUGCCUCCGUAUGGAAGACAGGGUUUGACGAGCGCCACUCGAGCACCGACAGCGUGCCAUCCGUGUACCCCACCAUGGGCAGGCCCAGGCCAUGUCGCUUCGGCACAGCUCGCCCCCGCGCUGGCGCACGAUCUCCCAUAUGGCAAAUGCACUACUGGGGUCUAUGAGGUGGCUGUAGAGGUGCAGGCAGCAGGGCCUGCGCGCCGGGGGCGGUGGAGGGC
rnacentral:lncRNA from 1 species